UACGUAGGGGGCAAGCGUUGUCCGGAUUUAUUGGGCGUAAAGAGCGUGCAGGCGGCUAGAUAGGUCCGUUGUGAAAACUCGAGGCUCAACCUCGAGACGUCGAUGGAAACCAUCUGGCUAGAGUCCGGAGAGGAGAGUGGAAUUCCUGGUGUAGCGGUGAAAUGCGCAGAUAUCAGGAAGAACACCCGUGGCGAAGGCGGCUCUCUGGUACGUGACUGACGCUGAGACGCGAAAGCGUGGGGAGCAAACAGG
rnacentral:rRNA from 1 species